rnacentral:rRNA from 1 species
GGGUUGUGAGGUUAAGCGACUAAGCGUACACGGUGGAUGCCCUGGCAGUCAGAGGCGAUGAAGGGCGUGCUAAUCUGCGAUAAGCGCCGGUAAGGUGAUAUGAACCGUUAUAACCGGCGAUACCCGAAUGGGGAAACCCAGUGUGACUCGUCACACUAUCAUUAACUGAAUCCAUAGGUUAAUGAGGCGAACCGGGGGAACUGAAACAUCUAAGUACCCCGAGGAAAAGAAAUCAACCGAGAUUCCCCCAGUAGCGGCGAGCGAACGGGGAGGAGCCCAGAGCCUGAAUCAGCAUGUGUGUUAGUGGAAGCGUCUGGAAAGGCGCGCGAUACAGGGUGACAGCCCCGUACACAAAAGCGCAUGUGCUGUGAGCUCGAUGAGUAGGGCGGGACACGUGGUAUCCUGUCUGAAUAUGGGGGGACCAUCCUCCAAGGCUAAAUACUCCUGACUGACCGAUAGUGAACCAGUACCGUGAGGGAAAGGCGAAAAGAACCCCGGCGAGGGGAGUGAAAAAGAACCUGAAACCGUGUACGUACAAGCAGUGGGAGCACAGGUUUACCUGUGUGACUGCGUACCUUUUGUAUAAUGGGUCAGCGACUUAUAUUCUGUAGCAAGGUUAACCGAAUAGGGGAGCCGUAGGGAAACCGAGUCUUAACCGGGCGUUAAGUUGCAGGGUAUAGACCCGAAACCCGGUGAUCUAGCCAUGGGCAGGUUGAAGGUUGGGUAACACUAACUGGAGGACCGAACCGACUAAUGUUGAAAAAUUAGCGGAUGACCUGUGGCUGGGGGUGAAAGGCCAAUCAAACCGGGAGAUAGCUGGUUCUCCCCGAAAGCUAUUUAGGUAGCGCCUCGUGAAUUCAUCUCCGGGGGUAGAGCACUGUUUCGGCUAGGGGGCCAUCCCGGCUUACCAACCCGAUGCAAACUGCGAAUACCGGAGAAUGUUAUCACGGGAGACACACGGCGGGUGCUAACGUCCGUCGUGAAGAGGGAAACAACCCAGACCGCCAGCUAAGGUCCCAAAGUCAUGGUUAAGUGGGAAACGAUGUGGGAAGGCCCAGACAGCCAGGAUGUUGGCUUAGAAGCAGCCAUCAUUUAAAGAAAGCGUAAUAGCUCACUGGUCGAGUCGGCCUGCGCGGAAGAUGUAACGGGGCUAAACCAUGCACCGAAGCUGCGGCAGCGACGCUGAUGCGUUGUUGGGUAGGGGAGCGUUCUGUAAGCCUGUGAAGGUGGCCUGUGAGGGUUGCUGGAGGUAUCAGAAGUGCGAAUGCUGACAUAAGUAACGAUAAAGCGGGUGAAAAGCCCGCUCGCCGGAAGACCAAGGGUUCCUGUCCAACGUUAAUCGGGGCAGGGUGAGUCGACCCCUAAGGCGAGGCCGAAAGGCGUAGUCGAUGGGAAACGGGUUAAUAUUCCCGUACUUGGUGUUACUGCGAAGGGGGGACGGAGAAGGCUAUGUUGGCCGGGCGACGGUUGUCCCGGUUUAAGCGUGUAGGUGUGUGUUCCAGGUAAAUCCGGUUCACUUUAACACUGAGGCGUGAUGACGAGGCACUACGGUGCUGAAGCAACAAAUGCCCUGCUUCCAGGAAAAGCCUCUAAGCAUCAGGUAACAUCAAAUCGUACCCCAAACCGACACAGGUGGUCAGGUAGAGAAUACCAAGGCGCUUGAGAGAACUCGGGUGAAGGAACUAGGCAAAAUGGUGCCGUAACUUCGGGAGAAGGCACGCUGACACGUAGGUGAAGUGAUUUACUCAUGGAGCUGAAGUCAGUCGAAGAUACCAGCUGGCUGCAACUGUUUAUUAAAAACACAGCACUGUGCAAACACGAAAGUGGACGUAUACGGUGUGACGCCUGCCCGGUGCCGGAAGGUUAAUUGAUGGGGUCAGCGCAAGCGAAGCUCCUGAUCGAAGCCCCGGUAAACGGCGGCCGUAACUAUAACGGUCCUAAGGUAGCGAAAUUCCUUGUCGGGUAAGUUCCGACCUGCACGAAUGGCGUAAUGAUGGCCAGGCUGUCUCCACCCGAGACUCAGUGAAAUUGAACUCGCUGUGAAGAUGCAGUGUACCCGCGGCAAGACGGAAAGACCCCGUGAACCUUUACUAUAGCUUGACACUGAACAUUGAGCCUUGAUGUGUAGGAUAGGUGGGAGGCUUUGAAGCGUGGACGCCAGUCUGCAUGGAGCCGGCCUUGAAAUACCACCCUUUAAUGUUUGAUGUUCUAACGUGGACCCGUGAUCCGGGUUGCGGACAGUGUCUGGUGGGUAGUUUGACUGGGGCGGUCUCCUCCUAAAGAGUAACGGAGGAGCACGAAGGUUGGCUAAUCCUGGUCGGACAUCAGGAGGUUAGUGCAAUGGCAUAAGCCAGCUUGACUGCGAGCGUGACGGCGCGAGCAGGUGCGAAAGCAGGUCAUAGUGAUCCGGUGGUUCUGAAUGGAAGGGCCAUCGCUCAACGGAUAAAAGGUACUCCGGGGAUAACAGGCUGAUACCGCCCAAGAGUUCAUAUCGACGGCGGUGUUUGGCACCUCGAUGUCGGCUCAUCACAUCCUGGGGCUGAAGUAGGUCCCAAGGGUAUGGCUGUUCGCCAUUUAAAGUGGUACGCGAGCUGGGUUUAGAACGUCGUGAGACAGUUCGGUCCCUAUCUGCCGUGGGCGCUGGAGAACUGAGGGGGGCUGCUCCUAGUACGAGAGGACCGGAGUGGACGCAUCACUGGUGUUCGGGUUGUCAUGCCAAUGGCACUGCCCGGUAGCUAAAUGCGGAAGAGAUAAGUGCUGAAAGCAUCUAAGCACGAAACUUGCCCCGAGAUGAGUUCUCCCUGAGACUUAGAGUCUCCUGAAGGAACGUUGAAGACGACGACGUUGAUAGGCCGGGUGUGUAAGCGCAGCGAUGCGUUGAGCUAACCGGUACUAAUGAACCGUGAGGCUUAACCUUACAACGCCGAAG